CUCUCUCUUUCACAGCUACUUUUCAUUAGAGCUGUCACAUUUUGGAUGGCAGCACCCCAAGAUGGAAGGAGCUUGGAUCCCCAAGUCAUCAUAUAGAGGAGAGGCUCUGCAGCAAGCUUCCUGCUGUGCAUUGGACUGUGAGGUAUAUUGCAUCCUGAUGACUUGGCUCGCCUGUCUGGGAGAAUACAUGGACCACGUGUGCUUCAGGCAGUUCUUCAUGUGUUAAGCAAGAGAUGAACCUGUAAGCAACAAAGUGCUGUGGAACAUAGACGGUCACUCUUCCGGUGCCUCUAACCCAAGAAAUAUGACUUGUGUCUCUGUUUGUGAAACUGUCAUGAUUACAAAGCAACUUGAUGGACUUAACCCUGAUAAAGUUAAUUCCUGAAGACUUAAAGGAUGAUUCCUACUAGGAAUAUUUGCAUCGUAAUAAGUAACUCUUGAAGGUCCCAAACCCUGAAAGCCCUAAAGAAACUAUCUUUAAUGAAAAUGCUUCGUUCACGAUGACAAGACAGGUGUAGAAGGAGGUAUUUUUUUGUGGCAUUUUAUUUUAUUUUAUUUUUUGAGACGGAGUUUCGCUGUUGUUACCCAGACGGGAGUGCAAUGGCAUGAUCUCGGCUCACUGCAACCUUGCUUCCUGGGUUCAAGCAAUUCUCCUGCCUCGGCCUCCCGAGUAUCUGGGACUACAGGCUCGUGCCACCAUGCCCAGCUAAUUUUUGUAUUUUUAGUAGAGACGGGGUUUACCAUGUUGACCAGGAUGGUCUUGAACUUCUGAUCUCAGGUGAUCCACCCUCCUUGGCCUCCCAAAGGGCUGGGAAUAUAGGCAUGAGCCACUGCACCUGGCCCGGCAUUUUAUUUUCUAUAUGAGUGGCCAUUACUUAUAACACUAUGUCUCUAGGGUGAGACUCCAAGUCUAGAUCUCAUACAAUUUUUCUUUUUAAUUUUCAGAUUUUUAGAGAAGUCCAUUUUGUAAGGAAGACACUUUCAUUGAUUGUGUCUUCCAAGACAACUGUUGCUGACAGUAUGUGACUGAUGUGUCCUUCAUAACUCCGGUGUGCUUGUCCCAUGAAUAGAUCUUACGCUCUUCCCGACAGCAACAAAGCAUUCACAACAAGACCUGAUGAAAACAAGUAGUUUUCAAAUUGAUUUUCCUUUCUGUAAAAAGCUCUUAUUAUCCAAUUUACUAAAAAGUUUCUCCUAAUUAAAAGCUCAUUAUUAAAAAAAUAACAGCUUCAAUCUUUAUGCCAUUAGGUAAGAACAUGUUCUGAAAAUCAAGUUGCUUUCAGCAGUACGAAAGAAAAUGAAUUCUUCAAACUGGAAGUUGCUUUGGAAAGAGAUUGCUACCUGGAAAACUGAUCGAUACC
rnacentral:lncRNA from 1 species